CUUUCGCGCUUUCCUUGGUAGCUUCUCCCGACACGGGCGUUUAUCGUCUUCCUGGGGCGCCUUCCCGGAAGAAAAUGUGAUCCGUUCGAGGCGCGCGAGCUAUGCCGCUCCAUCCCCGGUAAGGAUCUUUGGCGGAGGCUAGGGUUUUGGAUCGAGAGGGUUUGAUCCGGCGAGAGAGAGAGAGAUGAAGCUGCUCAACAAGAUCUUCCACAAGAAAAACGAUCGAAGCCCCGUGUCGUCGCCGGAUGGAGGCGGCAGCGGCAGCAGUGGCAGCAGCAGUGGCCCGGCCAUGGCGAAAUAUUUCUCCAGGAGCUCGGUCAUGUCUCCAAGAACGAAAUCGGUGGAUGCCGCCAAGGUGCUGCGCGUGCUGGGCGCCGAGAACAGGGAUCAGGAGGCGCAGAUCAUCAAGCAGAUGGAAAUGCGAGCCGAGGUGGAUCCCGACUCCACGGAUGUGUCGUUCGAGGAGGUGGAGGAUCACAGGCACCCCGAGAGCUUUGCGAGGCCCACGACCCCGGGCUUCUUCUCCGAGCACAGGAGGUCUUUGGAUUCCUUCGGCGACACCUCGUCGUUCGAGAGCCGAUCCAUGUCUCCGACACCAUCUUCGCGGCUAAGUCCUGCCAACGAUCCGUGGUGUCGAUCUCCUCAAAGUCCUCUCAGUGGUAACGGGUAUAGCUUAGCGCUAGCAGCGGCAGCAGCAGUCACUCCUGGGAACACCAUGACAGAUUCUUCUCGUGUUCCACACCCUCUUCCAUCGCGAUCGCCACCUCCCGCAGCAGCAGUGUGUCCUCGUGCUGGGAAUAGUUUGCGAACCGCGGCGCCAGCUCCGUUGCCUCUCCCGAGGAAAUCACUGGGAUGCGCUCUGGAUUUCUCGCAUCGAAAGAGUUCCGAGAGGUCACCGCGCUUCUCACAGUCUCCACAGUCUCCCCGCUGGUCUCCUCUCCACUCGCCACAGAGAUCUCCUUCCCGGCUGCUAAAGUGUCAAAAGCUCCAGGAACUGGGACGUGGAUCUUUCGCGACGGUGUACGAGGGAUUCAUGGAGGAUGGGAGCUUCUGUGCUAUCAAAGUUGUGCACGACUCAAUCAUGACCGAAGAGACCACGAAGGAGGUCCAACUUCUUAGUCAGCUGAAUCACCCCAACAUUGUGAGGUACCUAGGAGCUUGCAUUGAUGAAACUGGCUCCCUCUGCAUCUUUCUGGAGCACAUGAAAUCCUCCCUGAAGACGAUACUGAACAAACUUGGCGGUUUCGAGGAGAGCACGAUACGUGCGUAUACACGUCAGAUACUUCACGGGCUGGUUUAUCUUCACGAAAAUCAUACGAUCCACAGGGACAUCAAGUGUGCAAACAUUCUAGUCGACUCUCUCGGCCAGGUCAAGCUUGCCGACUUUGGUGUUGCGAAACAGACCCCACUGGCGUCGUCUUUGAAAGGUACACCGAUUUUUAUGGCACCGGAGGUGGUGACUCCAAAUCCAUCCAAAAGAUCCUAUGGAACUGCCGUGGACAUAUGGAGCCUUGGCUGUACAAUUUUGGAGAUGUCAAUGGGGAAGCCUCCUUGGAGUGACUUGGGGUUCGGGGUUUACUUCAAACUUUCGAAAGGAGAGGCCCCUCCAAUCCCAGACAGCUUGAGUCCUAUAGCGAAAGACUUCGUUCAACAAUGCCUGCUCUUCAAUCCGGAAGACAGACCAAAAGCCAUAGAGCUUCUCCAACACCAAUUUGUAUUAAACGCGCCGUCAUCCGUGCCGUCUUUCCCCACGUCGCCGUUGGCGUCCCCAAGAGCCUCGCCAAUCAGCCACAGGCAAAGUGGUGCGAGGAGUUCACUAGUGCAAGACACGACACACUUCCAUCCAAUCGAGGGGCUGAGACGAAACGGGAACCUGACCAUGAUAACACGAGAGGACUCCGGAUUCUCAGCCGUGAUCCACAGAACUCGUCUAGAACCUCAGCAGAUGAUUUAUAGAACUCCUCUCAACUUGGGGAGAGAGCCAGAGCUUCAGGGGCUUGUGCUAUAGCUUCCCGGCAGCUGGUUUUUUGUAGAAAUGAUAUAUAAUCUGCUCCAUUGUUUCCUAAACCGUGAAGAUCUGCUGCCGCUGCUAUGCUACGAUCGACGAAUACCAGAGAAAGCUAUGAUCGACGACAGAGAAGCAACGGAGACGGAAGAGGAAGAAGAACAAGGCUACAUGACGAUGCUUGGAGGAAGCCUCGAAGGCAUGAAGACGAGACCCAUCAAGAGCACGAAGAUGAUGAGAGGGACGAGCAUGAGGAAGAGAGGCGGGGGUGGAAGUGGUGGUAGAACAAUGGGAAGGACAACGACCAGGACGGCCACCACAGCCAGCAGCGUGAGCGAAGCACAGUCGAAGUAGUUUACCAUGAACAGUGGAUCCGAGACGCUGCGAUCAGACGAACCAUCCGAGGCGGAUCUCCGUGGAUCAACUUCUACACCAUCAAGCUCGAGCUCAAACGUUUUCUUCGAAGAACACGCGCCGCAGAGACACGAGGAGGAGGAAGAGGAGGAGGAGCUCACGCUCAUCUUAGAACAAGAGGUCUUGCUCGAUCGCUCAGGCCGGAGGAGGAAGAAGAAAAGGAGGAAGAAAGGCCACUGUCUAUCAUUCUCAGGUUGUUGCAAAGAAGAGAGACAAUUACGCUGGAGAGAUGCAGUGAACUGGAGCAAAAGUCCUGGAUCGAUCACAGCAGCAGCAGCAGCAGCAGCAGCAGGAGGUUCUUUUCUUUCCAGUCCUCGAGGAAGAAGGAAGCUCUCGAAAUAUUCCCGUAAACUCUUUCGCUGUGCGGCGUCGCUGUUCUUGCGCAGCGCGAAUCACCAAGUGUAAGUGUGUGUGAGAGAGAGGUAGAGCUUAAAGCCACGGAGAGAGAGAGAGAGAAUGGAGAGAGGCCAAGUUCUUCCCCCCCUUGCUAAUGCUCUACGUCUUUUUCUCUUCUCACACCCAACAAAAGAAACAAGAAAAGAAAGAGGGGUCGCGAGAGAAUCGCCAGGAACCUUGUUCGAUUCAGAGAAGCUUUGGUGUUUUUUUAAUCUUUGCUUGAAACAUGGAGAACAAGAAUGGAGGUCGAAUUUUGGGCUUGUACAUGCAUGAUUCAGUGCUCUGCAAAUGCGUCCUCUCGGUCCCCAAAAGGAGGAAACCUCCAUUGUUGUCUCGCGAUUAUCUCUGUUUUUUUUUUUU